UGGGGAAUCUUGGACAAUGGGCGCAAGCCUGAUCCAGCCAUGCCGCGUGAGUGACGAAGGUCUUCGGAUUGUAAAGCUCUUUUGGCGGGGACGAUAAUGACGGUACCCGCAGAAUAAGCCCCGGCUAACUUCGUGCCAGCAGCCGCGGUAAUACGAAGGGAGCUAGCGUUGUUCGGAAUCACUGGGCGUAAAGCGCACGUAGGCGGAUAGUUAAGUCAGGGGUGAAAUCCUGGGGCUCAACCCCAGAACUGCCUUUGAUACUGGCUGUCUCGAGGUCGAGAGAGGUUGGUGGAAUUCCUAGUGUAGAGGUGAAAUUCGUAGAUAUUAGGAAGAACACCAGUGGCGAAGGCGGCCAACUGGCUCGAUACUGACGCUGAGGUGCGAAAGCGUGGGGAUCAAACAGGAUUAGAUACCCCCGUAGUCCCUGAGCGGGCUGGCAAGGCGCAU
rnacentral:rRNA from 1 species